GCAACUGACAGCUAAACUCAAAACAUUGCCUUCAGAUCAGCCUAACACACAAACAGCAUCACAACCGACACCACAAGGAACUGCUCAACAGCUGACACAACCGUCCUCCCAACCUCACAUGCCAACCAGACCAACUCUACGAGGAGCYUCUGAGAGAUCCUCCAGGUCUCUGAAGAGAGCUGAGAAGAUGCCUGUGGAGAAAUGGACAGAAAGAGCGCUCCCGACUGGGACUAUGGAGGAAUCUAGCAAUGGUCAAAUUGAGAUUCACAUCGCAAAGCCCGAGAUACCUUCUUCAUCAUCAUCAUCAUCAUCAUCAUUGUCACACCGGGGUCAGCCAACCUGGAUGGAACUUGCCAAGAGGAAAUCUCUGGCCUGGAGUGACAAGACUAUGGACUGAGAAGUGCGUGUGUGUGUAUGUGUGUGUGUGUGUGUGUGUGUGUGGUAAAGGGGUUCCUAAAGAGAGUAAGAAGAAGACUGAAAUAAAAUCAUGAUUUGUUGCUGACUGUGUUACUUGAACCUACUGGAUACAGAGUAUGAGUUUAAAACCCAUUUCCCAUUACUGUGCCUUACUCUUCUAACCAUUAAAUUAAAAAAAUUACUUAUAUUUCACAUCAGCCAGACUGAUGCUAAACUUCUGCGUAUAACAACACUAAACCAAGAGGUCUGGACUUUUAUGGCACAAGAGGGCCAUAAAAGUUGCUGGUUCAAACUCCGCUUAAAUUUUUUCACUGCUUUUGACAUAUCACURCAUGCUAGAUCCCUGUUGUCUGGAAUAAAUAUACUGUCAAUUGUA